rnacentral:rRNA from 1 species
AAUUCCAGCUCCAAUAGCGUAUAUUAAAGUUGUUGUGGUUAAAAAGCUCGUAGUCGAACCUUGGGCCUGGCUGGCCGGUCCCCCUCACCGGGUGCACUGAUCCAGCCGGGCCUUUCCCUCUGUGGAACCCCAUGGCCUUCACUGGCUGUGCGGGGGAAACAGGACUUUUACUGUGAAAAAAUUAGAGUGCUCCAGGCAGGCCUAUGCUCGAAUACAUUAGCAUGGAAUAAUAGAAUAGGACGUGUGGUUCUAUUUUGUUGGUUUCUAGGACCGCCGUAAUGAUUAAUAGGGACAGUCGGGGGCAUCAGUAUUCAGUUGUCAGAGGUGAAAUUCUUGGAUCUACUGAAGACUAACUACUGCGAAAGCAUUUGCCAAGGAUGUUUUCAUUGAUAAGGAACGAAAGUUAGGGGAUCGAAGACGAUCAGAUACCGUCGUAGUCUUAACUAUAAACUAUGCCGACUAGGGAUCGGACGAUGUUAUUAUUUGACGCGUUCGGCACCUUUCGAGAAAUCAAAGUGCUUGGGCUCCAGGGGGAGUAUGGUCGCAAGGCUGAAACUUAAAGAAAUUGACGGAAGGGCACCACCAGGGGUGGAACCUGCGGCUUAAUUUGACUCAACACGGGGAAACUCACCAGGUCCAGACACAGUGAGGAUUGACAGAUUGAGAGCUCUUUCUUGAUUCUGUGGGUGGUGGUGCAUGGCCGUUCUUAGUUGGUGGAGUGAUUUGUCUGCUUAAUUGCGAUAACGAACGAGACCUUAACCUGCUAAAUAGCCCGUACUGCUCUGGCAGUUCGCCGGCUUCUUAGAGGGACUAUCGGCUCAAGCCGAGGAAU